rnacentral:rRNA from 1 species
UACGUAGGGUGCAAGCGUUGUCCGGAAUUAUUGGGCGUAAAGAGCUCGUAGGCGGUUCGUCGCGUCGGCUGUGAAAUCCCGGAGCUCAACUCCGGGCCUGCAGUCGAUACGGGCGGACUAGAGUUCGGCAGGGGAGACUGGAAUUCCUGGUGUAGCGGUGAAAUGCGCAGAUAUCAGGAGGAACACCGGUGGCGAAGGCGGGUCUCUGGGCCGAUACUGACGCUGAGGAGCGAAAGCGUGGGGAGCGAACAGG